UCUGGUUGAUCCUGCCAGUAGUCAUAUGCUUGUCUCAAAGAUUAAGCCAUGCAUGUCUAAGUACAAGCCUCACUAAGGUGAAACCGCGAAUGGCUCAUUAAAUCACACCUAAUCUACUGGAUAGUAAAAAGUUACUUGGAUAACUGCGGUAAUUCUGGAGCUAAUACAUGCACAAAGCCGCGACUCACGAAGCGGCGCUUUUAUUAGAUCAAAACCAAACGGCUUCGGCUGUACUCAUGGUGACUCUGAAUAACUUUGGGCUGAUCGCAUAGCCUUGAGCUGGCGACAUAUCCUUCGAAGGUGUGCCCUAUCAACUUUCGACUGUGGCAUAGACGCCCACAGUGGUUUUGACGGGUAACGGGGAAUCAGGGUUCGAUUCCGGAGAGGGAGCCUUAAAAACGGCUACCACAUCUAAGGAAGGCAGCAGGCACGCAAAUUACCCAAUGACCGAAGGUCGAGGUAGUGACGAAAAAUAACGAUAGAGGACUCAUCCGAGGCCCUCUAAUUGGAAUGAGUACACUUUAAAACCGUCCCCGAGGAUCUAUUGGAGGGCAAGUCUGGUGCCAGCAGCCGCGGUAAUUCCAGCUCCAAUAGCGUAUAUUAAAGUUGUUGUGGUUAAAAAGCUCGUAGUUGGAUCUCAACAGCCUUGAAGCGGUUAACUUUGUAGUUUUACUGCUUUAUAGGCUGUGCUUUUGCUGGAGGUUUAGGGGUGCUCUUGAUCGAGUGUCUCUGGAUGCCAGCAGGUUUACUUUGAAAAAAUUAGAGUGCUCAAAGCAGGCUAAAAUGCCUGAAUAUUCGUGCAUGGAAUAAUAGAAUAGGAUGUCGAUCCUAUUUUGUUGGUUUUCGGGACUCGACAUAAUGAUAAAUAGGGACAGUCGGGGGCAUUUGUAUUCAAACGACAGAGGUGAAAUUCUUGGACCGUUUGAAGACAAACUACUGCGAAAGCAUUUGCCAAGAAUGUUUUCAUUAAUCAAGAACGAAAGUUAGAGGUUCGAAGGCGAUUAGAUACCGCCCUAGUUCUAACCAUAAACGAUGCCAGCUAGCGAUCUGCCUGCGUUUUUACUGUAGACUGGGCAGGAAGCUUCCGGGAAACCAAAGCAUUUGGGUUCCAGGGGAAGUAUGGUUGCAAAGCUGAAACUUAAAGGAAUUGACGGAAGGGCACCACCAGGAGUGGAGCCUGUGGCUUAAUUUGACUCAACACGGGAAAUCUCACCAGGCCCGGACACUGGAAGGAUUGACAGAUUGAUAGCUCUUUCUUGAUUCGGUGGGUGGUGGUGCAUGGCCGUUCUUAGUUGGUGGAGUGAUUUGUCUGGUUAAUUC
rnacentral:rRNA from 1 species